CUCCGCUGAGCCCCUCCGCGCUGCCAGCGCCUUCCUCCCCCCGCGCCGGGCUCGCCGGCGAGGGGCCGCUCCGCCUCUUUCCCCUGCCCGCCGCCGGCUGCGGGCGGGAGUCGAGCGAGGGCCGGAGCUCCGCCGCCCGCGCCCCCUCUCGCCCGCCCGCCCCAACAGCACGGGCGGCUCCAGACACAAAGGGGAGUCGCUGCAGCCGCCGGCCCGGGCGCCCGUCCCGCCGCACCGCCCCCGCCGCCCGGCUCCGCCCCGCACCAUGGAGGUGGCUCCAGAUGUGUGGCUGGGCUGGGAGCUCACACCCACCGACAGUGACCACAGCAGCUCUCAGAAGUGGAUGAAGACAUGGAAGGAACCCUUAUGUGAUAGGAUGGAAGUGAUGGGGGUGCCAGCCCAUUUAAGUUCAGCUCCAAGAAUCAGCUUGUGGUCAUUGGGACCAUGUUAUUCUUUCAGCAGGAUGUUCUGUAUGAGCCCCUGGAAGUGAGAGCGAUAACAUGGCUCUGAUCACUUUUUGCCUUCACAGCAAACCUUUCAUCAGAGGAACCUCAAAGCAACUUGCCAGCAAGAAUGGGCACAACCUCACACUGUGCCUGUGAGAUAAGCGAAGGAUGGAAUAGAUUAACUGCUUAAAAGCACACAGCAGCUCUGUGGGAUGAAGGAAAAUAAGAAAAAAACCUUAUAUAUAUACAUACACUUUUGAAACCAUACAGGGUUUUAUGGAGAGGCAGCCUGGAAGGCUGCCAGGAUACUGAAAUUGCCACCCCUACACAACCACGAAUACCAUGGAAACCAGUGGGGCACUGGCAGGCAGGAAAGGAAAUCAGCUGAAAAAUGGCUUUCCAUGAAAUGCAGCCAGGCUGGGACACUGCUCCCCUCCUGACUGAGGGAGGCCUACGUGCCUAACCACCAGUGUUGCUGCUGGUGGGAGCUGGGCUCCAGGAGAGAGUCAGUCCCAGUAAUUUCCCAGCCUGGGGUAACGCUUUCCUGGCGGCGGCCAGUGGAUGACAGCAAAAAAUGGGAUGGCUGAAAACUGCUACAUCAUGUCAGCUGUGGUGGGGAGGUAAUGGAAACCCUGAGUGCCUAGUAAAGCUUCAACACAUGCUGGGAGGUAUAAGAAGAUCAAAGUCGGUUGACAUCUGAAUAAGGACAGGGAAGGAACAUGUAUGUGCAAGCUCCUGCCUGCCCUGUCUGGUGAGGCACGAUUAAAAAGCACAGAACACUCAUCAGUUUUCCUUCAAAAUACUAAAAAAGCACAAAGAAGGAUUCCUUUAACCUGAGCAAAAGUAAGUAAAGGAGGGAGACCUGGAAAACAAAGCCAAAAAUAACAAAUGAAACUGAAUGUAACAGGAAUAACAGAAAUAAACAAACCCAGACAAGCAGUGGAGGAGGAAUGAACAUGCUGUUAAUCUGUCAAGUACACCAUGCCCACAUCAAACUACAGAGUAAGCCCAGAGAAAUACCCAGCCUCCUAGCUGAGCAAGGGCACCUGCUUGUUACCAAACAGCACAUAUCCCUUAAAAAGUCAUACUCCUGGUAAGCAGGGGAGGAGGAAUUCAAGCAUAGAACAGCUGUACUCAUUCAAAAUACUGCUAAGAGGAACAGCGGCAUCUUAUGAGUAAGCUGGAUACGGCGCAAGCAGCACCAGGCUUGAACAAAAAUAGCCCAGUGGAGAUGAGAGGCAAGAAGAGACACCAGUACACUGCUCUCCUUCUAGCUCUCAUCAACUGAAGGAUGCAGAGGUGAUCUCCUACAGAGCCUAGAUUGAAUAGAGACAGGGGGAUAUUUCUUCAGAAAAGCAAAGAGAGCUGGAAAACCAGAGAAGCAGCAGAGCAGCAUUUCUGCUAUGUUAAAAUGCACAGAGCGAACAGACCUUCCAGUAAGCACAGGGGAGGGCUGGAAAGGGGAUGGGAGCAUUGCCGUGGCUGGCCCUGAUAAGGCUCUAUCUAGGAACAGGCGAGGGCUGUGCUCACAGCCCAGCUGAGAAAUGGGUCUGGAGGAGUGCGAGAACAACAGGAUAACAUCAGGCACUUCUCACACAGCUGAAGGACCGCCACUGGUCAUCAGGAGACAAGUGCAGAUGGGAGACUUUAAAGUGGUGCCAGAAAAAACAAGCUACAGCCAGGGUCGAGGAACAUGGGAUCCAACUCCUAGUUGUCAGCAAUUGUGGUGUAUACAUUGCUGAAAACAGAUGCAGUGCCAGGAAAAUCCAACUCCCAGCAUGAAAAGAAUAACUUAGGAAUGAUAAUGAGAGAAGCCAAAGCAACUGCGACUGUGAAUUAGUGAUUACAUAAAAGUUUUUAUCUUAAAGUUAUGUUAGGCCAAACCCUGAAGUAAUUUUUUUCAUCCAAGAAUGCUCCCUCGAGACCCUGUGAUUUGGCCACAAAUUGCUACAUUAAAAAAAAAAAAAUACCCCCACAAAAAAAAAAAAAAAAAAAAAGCACAACAAAACAAAGAUUUCCUUUUUAUGCUGGCUGGAAAUACAUACAUAGCAGACAAUAGCUUUGACUGGCAUCAAACACUUCUCCAGCAGGUAGCUGAAGUUCUCUGUUUUAUGCCACCAUCAGCAUCACCGUGAGGGACAGACCAGUCUUCAGGAUUUGCUCCCUUAUGUGGCUGCUAGCCAGGGAAGUUGGAACUGUGGUUGUUUAGUAUGAAGACAAGUACGAGUUAUUCAAGCUCCCUGAAACAAGUGAGGUACAAUCCACAUCACAGUUCCUCCCACUUGGACCUAUCCUAAAAAGCUAACUAAGGACUAAAGCUACUCCUGGAAAACUGAACAUACAGUAGCCUGGGUACUGCCAUAAGGAAACGUAGCAAUCAUCACUGCCCACCAUGUGCUGAACAGCAAUAAAAAUGAUUUUUAAAAAUAGCUGAGUUGGGAAAAAAAAUACCGAUGUCUCAGUGGCAGGCUCAAAAGAGCAGCAAAAGGAUUCUCUCUAUCCCAUUCCCUGGGCAAUACUGAGCUCAGCAGCAGCUCUGGGCUUCACACCUGGAGGGUUCUGUGUAGUUUCAAACUACAAACUACUGGGUCUGCAAAUCCCAGAGCCCAGUAGGUCCCAAAGAGAUGCAGCCACAAUGAGACAUCUCUCACCUCCCAGAACCUCUCCCCAUUCCAGUUGGAGAUCAUCACACACAUGAAACUUCCCUGCUCAAUCUUUGGACUUGGCUUACCAGGAGUAAUAUGCUGCCAAUCUGCAAUUGCUAAAGAGGUAUCAAAAAUAACAUGAGAAAGUGAGUAUUUGGAGCAGGAGACACACCCUUCCCAUGACAGAUGACCUGCUAUAAAAGCCCUUACAAAAGCAAGGGAAUGUGCUGUUGUAAAAUCUGAAGCUUAAAUGCUGUGCAGCCAAAAAUCUUGGAAAUAGUUCUUUCAAAUUAUACAAACACUUUGGAGAUUCUGAGAGAAUAAAUAGCUGGAAAUAGGUUUAGAUAAAAGAACCUUUCAUGCCAGCUGGCAAAAGGCAAACAGAUGGAUCAGAUAGAUGGAUAGAUGGGGCUUAAAGCCACUUUUGUCUCAGCAGUAGCUGGGCUUGUGUAUGCAAUGUCUGAAGGCAGCAUAUCUCAUUAUCU
ensembl:lncRNA